GAUGAACGCUGGCGGCGUGCUUAACACAUGCAAGUCGAACGAUGAUGCCCAGCUUGCUGGGUGGAUUAGUGGCGAACGGGUGAGUAACACGUGAGUAACCUGCCCUUGACUCUGGGAUAAGCCUGGGAAACUGGGUCUAAUACCGGAUACGACCAUCUGGCGACUGUCAUGGUGGUGGAAAGCUUUUGUGGUUUUGGUUGGACUCGCGGCCUAUCAGCUUGUUGGUGGGGUAAUGGCCUACCAAGGCGACGACGGGUAGCCGGCCUGAGAGGGGGACCGGGCACACUGGGACUGAGACACGGCCCAGACUCCUACGGGAGGCAGCAGUGGGGAAUAUUGCACAAUGGGCGCAAGCCUGAUGCAGCGACGCCGCGUGAGGGAUGACGGCCUUCGGGUUGUAAACCUCUUUCAGUAGGGAAGAAGCGAAAGUGACGGUACCUGCAGAAGAAGCGCCGGCUAACUACGUG
rnacentral:rRNA from 1 species